UACCUAUAGAUUGGUGAUGAUAAGCGGUC
rnacentral:sRNA from 1 species